GGUAAAGUCAUUUUUAACGUACAGCGAUGGCCAGUAUAUAUUCAUUUAAUAUCAUGCAGGUUGUAUUUGUCUAACUGACAAAUCCUUUGUGACCUUCCUAUUUUUCCGGCUGAUUCUUGAGUGACUUGAUCGAAAAAAUAUGCAUAAACACAUCUACGGUCCCCUAAAUCAUGAAACGUGGAACCCAUGGUUCAUCAGCACCA
rnacentral:lncRNA from 1 species